rnacentral:lncRNA from 1 species
GGGGGACCCCAGAGUCAACCACUUAAAUUAUAAUGUGCAAGGAGAGUGUCAUUCAUUGCAUGAAACCCAAUACCAGGGAGAAAAUGUGGCACAGGGGAUGAGGCCACACGAUGCGGGCACCUGGAGCGUGGCCAAGGGGAGCUCGCUCACCACCGCUGGUCGUCACCUGCUCCUCCCUAGAACGCCUCCUCCCGUCGUCCCCGCCACUCACGUGCCCCCUGUGGGACAGACACCUUCAGUGUGGUGAGAUGUGGGGGCGGGGCCUUUGGGAGACGAUUAAGGGUGGAUGAGGUCAUGGGGACAGGGAUGAGUGACCUUGCAGAAAGCAGCUGAGAGCUCUCUCCUCUCCCUGUGCCAUGUAUGAGCACUCGGCAGACAACCAGCCCACUGCAAGCCAGGACAAAGGCCCUCACCAGAGCUCGGCAGGGAGCCAGCCCACUGCCUGCCAGGACAAAGGCCCUCACCAGAGCUGGCCACACUGGCACCGUGUGCCAGCCUCCAGCACACCUCCAGAGGUACAGGUGUGCUGCUGGUCCACCCAGCCUGUGGGGGUUGUCACGGCGGCUGAGAAACGGGGGUGCCAUGGCCUCCGGCUGCGAUUACCACCAGUCCUGGGGACGUGCCCACAGCUGGAGUCCCAGAAGUCCAAGAGCGUGUGGCUGGCAUGGGGCUGACUUCUGGGGAGGGUGUGGUGAGGAGGUGGGGAGUGAAGGGCACGCGAGCACCAGCGUGUGGAGGAUGGGAACCAGGAGUGGCCGCCCCGCAGACCAGCUUUGCACAACAGCCUGGUGUGAGUCCCCAGGCCCCACAGGGACCCCUCUGGAGGCCCUGCUCACGGCUCACGGCUCCCGCACCUCUCCGCUCCAUCACCUCGGCAAUGCUGCAGUGGGACAGGCCAUCCUCAGCCCCCAGCGCCGGCUCCUGGGGCUGCUGGGACUCCUGACGACUUCCCACGCCAACCACCUAGAUGGGGAAAGAGCCAGCGCCAGACCCACGUGCAGCUGGCCAGGCAGGUGCACAGGGGUGGGAGGGGGCUGGGCAUUGGCCACGGGCCCGAGGAAGAUACAAAAGGCAAGGGUCUCUUGA